rnacentral:rRNA from 1 species
GGGCUGCAGUGGGGAAUUUUGGACAAUGGGCGCAAGCCUGAUCCAGCCAUGCCGCGUGAGUGAAGAAGGCCUUCGGGUUGUAAAGCUCUUUCGCAAGGAAAGAAAACUUACAUGUAAAUAAUGUGUGAGGUUGACGGUACCUUGAUAAGAAGCACCGGCUAACUACGUGCCAGCAGCCGCGGUAAUACGUAGGGUGCAAGCGUUAAUCGGAAUUACUGGGCGUAAAGCGAGCGCAGGCGGUUUUGUAAGUCAGAUGUGAAAGCCCCGGGCUCAACCUGGGAACUGCGUUUGAAACUACAAGGCUAGAGUAUGGGAGAGGGGGGUAGAAUUCCACGUGUAGCAGUGAAAUGCGUAGAGAUGUGGAGGAAUACCAAUGGCGAAGGCAGCCCCCUGGCCUAAUACUGACGCUCAGGCUCGAAAGCGUGGGGAGCAAACAGGAUUAGAUACCCUAGUAGUC